UGAGGACAAAGGAGAUGCGGGGGAUCAGGAAGGUAUUGAGGGCAUUGAUCUUUUGCCAGGGGGCGAGCAGGGAGGAGUCGGUUUGGGCUGCAUCCCGCAGGAUCUCCUCAAUGGUGUCUUCGGGGGUCUGUCGGACGCGAACUCCUGUGGGUAUGCCCAGAUGUUGGUAUACCUCUCCCUCUUCGAGGGAGGUCAUGGGCUCGCCCUGGAUCAGGAACCGUGACGCCCGGACCAGAGCCCUGGCACCACCUUCGACUUGGAGGGAGGCGCACUUUUGGGGUUGAAGCAGAGGCCCAUCCACUCGGUGGCUCGGUUGGCAACGUCGAGCAUCCCCUGGAGGCUUUCCGAGCUGUCAGCGACCAGGGCCAGAUCGUCCGCGUAGGCCAAGAUGCUGAUUCUCUUGCCAUGCAGGUUGAAGCUGGCCAAGCCGCUGGAGACUGCUCGGAUGAGCAGUUCCAUGGCCAGGUUAAAGAUGAUGGAGCUGAGGGGGGCAGCCCUGUUUCACGCCGCAGCGGAUGGGGAUGGCGUCCGUCUCUCCGUCCGUGGCGCAGAUGGUGGUGGUACAGUCCUUGUAGAGGUCCUGGAGGAUCUGGAUGAAGGUUUCUGGCAUCCCGAACUCUCCCAGGGUGGCGAAGAUGUGAUGGUGGGGUAUGGACCUGAAGGCGUUGAUCAGGUCGAGCCAUGCUACGGCGCACUGCCUCCUGGCCUCCUAGAUGGCUGUCUGAAGAAGAAAGUUGUGCUCGUAACAUCCCUCACAGGACAUAAAGCCCUUCUGCGCUGAGCUGAUGGGGCCCCCGCACAUUGACCAGUCCGUGAUCCUUGCUGCGAGGCAGCUGGCAUACAGCUUGUAGAUGGUGGAGCAGAGGGAUAUGGGCCUCCAGUUGCUGGGGUCAUCUCGUUCGCCUUUUUUGUGGAUGAGCACCGUCAUGGAUUUUUUCCAGGCGCGGGGGGCGCGGUGGAACAGCUUGCAUUUGUUGAAGAUGGCAGCAAGCACCAAGCAGCUGGGGUCUCGCUUCUUCAGCAGGUGGUAGCGGAUGCCAUCUUUUCCAGAGAUGGUGUUUUUGGUCCUCGUCAGCCUCGCCAGCACCACCCGCGGGGAAAAAUCUUGCUCCAGGUCCUCUGUGAGGUUGAUCAAGGGUAGCGGUAGAAGGCACUCUGGGCGUCGCACAUCGGUCUGGGCCUCGCGAUCAAACACGUCCUUGAAAUAGGAGUAGAGCCUCUCGGUCUGGAUGGCACAGUAGGAGGAGGUCCCGUCGAGGAUCUCCCUCAUGGCUUUCGAGCAGUUUGUCCUGUAUAGUUUCUGAAUAUGGGAUGCAGCCGCCGGAUUAUAGCGGCUGCUGGCAUCCCCUCUCCUGCCUUCUCUGGCAGUGUUGUUACGGCUCAGCGCAGGGAAUCUGCGAGUGGUCCGUGUGCCCUCCUGGGAUUCCCUCCUUCUGGUUGUGAUUUCUAAAGGCAGUUCUGUGGUCAGUCUGUCCAUCAGGGUGUGGAAGUUCUCGAAGUUGUCAGCCUUUGCCAGCUCCUCCAUCCAGACGGAUUGCCAUGGUGUGGCGACCCUGGCUCGCGGCCGUCGCUCCUCCUGCUGCAUUGUCUCCACAGGUUCAGGUGCUGUGGGGACGGUCUGUGGCCUUGUUGUCUCUCGGACUGGGGAACGGUGUUCAGGUGGAUCUUGAGGCCGGGGUCCUGGCGUGGUGGAGGGGGCAGCUCUCCGUGUCUCCGAGGCAGUGCUGGAUCUUCCAGGAGGGAGUGGGGUUCUGGAAGCACCGGUUUUGGACUCUGGGGGGAUGCAGUCGUGUCUGGAAGCGCUGGGGAUGAUCCUGGUUCUCCUACAGGCAGUAUCCGGCUGGGAGGUCCUCAGUGGGGCAUGGGAGGCAGAGGAGGGGCAGAGGAGGAGGCCUGUAGGGAUUGGGUCCUGGAGGUAGAUGCAGUCAUCUUCCCCUGCCUCACCCUCUGUGGGGCAGAUCUCUGCUGUGCCUCGCACAGGUGGUUCCUCUCGGUCUGGUAGAGAAGCUUGAGGAGGUGAAGUCGCUCCUGGGAGGGGGGCGCGGACUCGCUGGCCAUGAUGUCUCUGUCUGGAAGGACAGCAUGCGGCAUCGAGAUCUUGGGCUGUGGAGUGCGUUCGCUUUGGAGUGGCGUUCCUCUGGGCAGCAGGGUAAUCAGUAGUUUCAGGGUCCUGGGUUGGGGAGGUGGUUCCUUCGGGAGCAUCCCUCUGUGGAGCAGAGGGGCAGUGAUCAGCAUCCUGGUCGUGGGUCGUCGGGCGGGCUCUUCUGGUAGCAGCUUUCUCAGGAGCAGCAGGGCAGCGAUCAGCAUCCAGGUCCUGGGCAGUGGGAGAGGUUCUCUGGGCAUCCUCCUCCUGAAGAGCUGGCGAGAUGUUGUUGCUCCUGGAUGUGAGGUCCCGAAGAGCCAUCCUCAUGGUGCUAGGUGCGGGAGUUUACUGGAGAAAAGAAAAAAGAAAAAGGGCAGAGGCCCUUCUCAUUAUUCUCCACUAGGAUGUUCCAGGUGGUAUGAGGAACACCCUAGCCCCUUUUUUAAGAAUCUAAUUGUUUUAUUGCUCUGAGAUCCUUUUUACCACUUGCCAAGAUUUUAAUAAACAAAGAAUUAGAAGAGCAAUGAAAAUAAGGGUCCAAAAUUGGAUAAGGCAGAAAAAAACAGCUAGUGCUAUAGGGUCAAAAGGUAUAUAAGUUUUAUUGGUCAUAAGCGAGAUAGAAUGUUGUGAAUAAGGAUUAUAAGUUACACACCAUGAGACUUUUGCAAGAUUAUACUAAUCUUUCUUACAUACAAAAGAAGAAGAAACUUCAAUCAAAAAAGUUCUUAACUUAGAUAUCUGCAAUCAGGAACUCAUCAACCAGUUAAAAUGAUCAAUCUGACAAUCAAUUAUUUGAGCUCUUUUAUCAUUGACUCUCUCAUCAAUUUUUCCCCAGAUACUCACGCCUAGGUAGUACAUAAGCUCUGGCCAGGAACUUGUCAGAGAUCCUUAGAAGAAAGUCGGGGUACUCAGCUUUUGGAAAGAGGGAGGCGAAUUGAUCCACCAGCCAGAGAGCAGACUCUCCGGGAUGUAUCCUCAACAUCACACUCUCCCUUGCCUGUAGCAGGUUUAUAUGGCUUGUUGCCGCUAGCCUGCUUGAUGUGCUCUAGCCAAUGAGGCCUUGAGAUGUGGGCAUAGUUUAGGCUCCAUGAUUUCCUGUAAGAAGGCCAGAGUGGGUCAGACCAACGAUCCAUCUACCCCAGUGGAGUGUACUGAACCAGGAAAUUUGGAGUGAUCGAUCCACCCUCAUCUUCCACUCCUGGUCUCUGUGGAGUCAGAGAUUUAGGGCUUGACUCAAGCAUGGGAUUGCAUCACUGACCAACUUCACUAAUAGCUCCUGCUGGACCUAGUCUCUAUGAACUCAUCUCAUUCUCUGUGGAAGCCAGUGAUACUUUUCGCCCUCACAACAUACCAUGGCAGGGAGUUCGGCAUGUUAAUUUCGUCAGUUACUGAUCCAUGAGAGGGCUCGAGACGUCUGGAGUAGCUCAUGAUGAACACCCUUAACAUGGAGCCACAGACAGCCCCCUUGGGAACCCUGAAUCUAUCUUGCCACCCAGAUGAGCCUGCCUUUGUGACAGAUGGUCCCUUGCACCAAAAACCAUACAAUAGUCUGGUCACUCGGACCGGUCACUCAGCCAGGUCAAUUGCACCUCAGAUCUCAAACUGAAGACAACGUGCGUCACCAAUCCUAUAAUAAACUAGCUAAAUCCUAUAAUAAACUAGCUAAAUCUUGCUGAA